CAGCAGCAGACGACAAAAAGACGGCAGCUGCUGCUCGCGCGCUCCUCCUGCGAGGCUCCCGCUGCUCCUUCCCAGUUGUGUGCUUUGACCGGCGAGGGACUCGGUCGGCGGGUGUACGGUGGAGUGCUUCUUGCCCGCCUCUACGGUGGUCAAGUCACGUUCGCGUCUUUCCGGUCGUCGCGGGCGGCCGCGCGUUUCCUGCUUCUCCGCCAUCGGACGGCACCCACGUCCCUUUGACGGCGACGAUCCGGCGCGCUCGGCCGGUGUUGUCAUGCGGCCCUUUCGCCGGCGCGCGUCGACAUCGAAGCAACUGCAGCGGCGACGGUCGUCGUCUUCGGCGCGCCGAGGAGCGCCGUAGGCCUAACCGCCGUUUUCUGCUGCUCGGCCUCGCGAAGUUGUUGCGCGUUUCGGCGGUCCGAUUGCGCGUGUCACUACCUCGUCGUCGGCGGUGGUUCUCUCUCGAGCCGUGUUCUGUGCGUCCCCUAAAGAGUGUCGGUGGUUGUGAGCGCGGCGUUCUCUGAAUUGGUGUUUUUUGACCCGGGGCCGCCCGACCGCAAUUGGCCGCGGCGGCUUGGUGUGUGUGGGGAGGAGAGACGACGCCGUGCACACACAGGAAAUUGGCCGCGAUGCCUCCACUGGCGCGAGACCAGCAGUCGGCGAGCUUGUUAACACCGGAGAUGAAGGCGACGUUGGCCAACGGCGGCGGAGCUGGUGCAGCCGGCGACGGUUCGAGCUGCGUCUGCUCGGUCAAGUGUGUUCUUGUGGGCGACGGUGCGGUGGGCAAAACGAGCCUCGUCGUCAGCUACACCACCAACGGCUACCCCACGGAGUACGUUCCCACGGCCUUCGACAACUACUCCGUGGUGGUGACAGUGGACAACCAGCCGGUACGUCUGCAGCUCUGUGACACGGCGGGACAGGACGACUUCGACUCGCUGCGGCCCCUGUGCUACCCGAACGCGGCGGUGUUGCUGCUCUGCUUCUCGGUGGUGUGCCCCACCUCGUUCCAGAACGCGUCGCAGAAGUGGCUGCCCGAGCUGAGGCGGCACUGUCCCGACGCACCCAUCGUGCUCGUCGGAACCCAGUGUGACCUGCGCUCGGACGUCAAGGUGCUCAUCGAGCUUGCCCGCUACGGCGAGGAACCCGUGCCAGAGUCCGCGGCGCGGCACGCCGCCCACCGCAUGGGGGCGCUGGCCUACGUCGAGUGCUCGGCGCUCACGCAGAAGAAUCUCAAGGAGGUCUUCGACACGGCCAUUGUCGCAGCGCUGCGUCGGAACAGCCCGGGACUCGUGGGCAAGGGCUUCCACCUGCUGUCCACCAGGUCACCGGGUUCCAGGAGCAACGGCACGGGACAGUUCACCAACGGCUUCGUGCCGUUUCCCCGGAGACGCGCCAUGUCGCUAGACCGCCGAACCCGGGACGACGGCAAGAAGACAGGCUGGAAGAAGCUGUGCUGCUUCAUCUGAGGUGUUUGUGCGUACGCUUGUGUGUGUGUGUGUGUAUGUGAUGCGUGUAGCUGAGUGGCGGUUCCUGUAAUACGGUGCGGAGACCUCGACCAGAAAUCUAUUCCGUCGGACACGGGGUCUCCAUCGUAGCGCUGUGUGAGUCACGUGCAAGUGCGCCGUGGUGUCGAUUCUUUGCGCAGCCACGGGUUUCUGCUCGUUUCUACGAGUGAUACAACCAACGUGGCAGGAAAGACAAGUCUCAGGGUUGAAGUCAAGACCAUCACUGGCGAUGAGGCGCCGCUUGAGGACUGAAGAGCUAUAUGGAGCCAGUCCGCUCUCGCCGACGCUGGAAGUGACUUCGUGAAGGCGUGUGGUCGCGUUGUGCGGACGCUUUAGGACCGGCACAUCAUCGCCGUGGACAGUCGCUCAUUGUGGUUUCUGGUCGUUUCGACGAGAGUUGUCCAGGAUAGACAAGGGUCUCAGGGGUGAAGUGAAGAUGACGGCGGCGACCGGAGAAAGAAAGGCUGUGUACUGCAGCUACAUGUAUAGCCGAGUCGGUUCUCACUUCCGUUUUUUACGAAAGUUUUCGCGAUGCUCUUCUGGAUAAGCGGCGCCGCCGACAGGUGUUUCUGGUUUCGUAAUCUGGCUUCCGGUAAUCGGAGCAGAGGAGUCUUUGCGCCUCCGAUUGCGUGCUUCCAGCCAGAUGGCGCCGGCGUGAACGGACAUGAUUGUGACCACAUGUUCGCCGACUCGCCACGGCGAACCGUCGCUAUCGCGACGCUUUUUCUGUCGAGGUUUAUUGUCCGUGAACUGGCUAGGAGUACGUGAGAGCGACAAGAAUGACAAACAAGAAAAGUAAAGGAAGAAGGCUUUACGUAACCUGUCCCUAUCUGGCAUGGGCCGUCUAGUAAUGUGAUCGUCGGACGCAUUCGACGCCGAGUGUGUAUACCUGUCACUACCGAGCCGUACCGAGCUUCAAGCACGUGCGCAGAGUCACGCUUCAUCUCUGAGUGUUUUUAAUGGGAGGUGAUUAUUCUUGAGCGUUUGCAAUGGCUGCACAUGUCAGGACAAUUGGUGUGGAACGUCCAGUCAGAAUAACACCUCAUCCUCUAUGAGGGCAAUUUCCAACUGUGCAGACUGUGCUUUUUCGUUGACAGCGGUGACUGUUUGGUUUGGUGACUGUUUCAUCGGCUCGUGAUGACAGUGGUCAUUUUUCAUAGUGGUGCUGCGAAGUGACGGGUGAAGACUGUACAAAUCUCCUCGCCCAGACAUCAAAAUAGAAUAUUGCGCUCCAGUCAACAGUUCCUCCAUCAUCGAGCGUCAGGCACCUGUCUAGCACGUCAUCUGUACUGUGUAUACCGUCUGGUCUCGCGCAUGCUCUGGUCACGGUGUUCGGUCUAACUGAGCUUGGCAGACGGUGACGAUAACUCCAGCGAUAACUGUGCGAUCCGGCGACCGCGCGCGCGGCAUUGCGAUAAGGCUCCGAACGUCCAGCUAAAUGGGUCGAGAUUCCGUUAUCUUGCUGCCUGUCUUGGAGACAGCGCUGAUUGAGACACUGAUAGUUUUCAACUAUUGUGUCAGAUUGCCGUCUCCGAAAAGUUGAUUAUCCUUUAUUUGUGUAUAUUAACUCUUUCUCAAUUACUGCUUGCCCUCAAAUACAUAGUAAGCCCCUUCGAAACAGACUCUGCGCUGUUUUCCCGGUGAUGAGAACAUUUUUUUUUUUUUUCUGCUGUGUGCACACGUUUGUAAUGCACAUUACGCCCGAUCCGUCGCACUGGUUUCCGCAGUUUUUGAUCUCGUGAGUUUAUCAGGUCGUUUAGUAAGAGUGCUGUUGGUGCUCAUUUAAUAUCUGCGUUGUUAUCUCCGCGCCUGUCUUUGCAAGCCAUAGGAAAUCAAGUUUCCUUCAGGCAGUUCAUGCGCAAACGAUCAUGUGACCGGAGAGCACCGAUUGAGUGAGUGAUCCCCUAAACCCCGGCAUUGCACUGCCGGUUCGUGUGCGUACAGUGUGGUUCAUUCUUCAAGGGCACACUGACAUGAUAAUGUCAUUGUGCACUUCAGUCCAGUACUAAGAGAACACCCAAUUAGUAUUCAGUGCAUCAUAGCUUGAACAUUUAUUACAAAGUUGUGGAAACAAAGUGCAUGAUGCGACACGUUAAGUAGACAUCUACUAAUAAACAGGUUUUUCUGCGUGCCUUCGUACUUUUCAAAACUGGACAGUAAUGGGUGCCGAGAUACUAACUAGAUGUACUUUUUAAGAAUGUACCAUGCCGUACAACGGUAGACAUUACAACUGUCAUUAGCGAAGGAGUGUUCGCUGGGGAACUCUCCCUGACACCGUGAUUAUCAAAUUUUGCAGUCACGUCACUCUGACGUCGAGAAUUAUGUACAGUAUAAAUCGUCAGAGUGCUGUGGCAGUGUAGUGGAACUGACAGCAUCCGCUGUCGUCUCCGAACGAUUCUAAGUGAUGCCUGUGGCCGAGAUGUGACCCCAAAUGACAUUGUAAACGAGGCCGCGUCCUGCGAAGUUGAAGCCGUGCACGGAAUUGUAAGCAACGACCGUGUACAGCGGAGUGCUGAAUUGCGUGAUGUGAUGUGGGAGCUCGGAUGUUCAAGUUGUGUACAUAAAUUAUUGUCGCAGCACAACACCUUUGAAGUUGGUGACGCCGGUCACACAGUCUGUUUCAGCUAAGCGUAACGGUUCCUACGCUAAAGCAACACGCAGUAAAACGUCUGCGCAUAAUAGCCACCUAAAAGCGCGUAUUGAGGACCGCCUACCGCUACCCUCUCCCUCAUUUGAAGGAGAAAAGAAAGAAAAUUAUUUUAGAGCUAUAUGACCGCAUAUAAAUGACGGUACGAAUCGCGGCGUUAUUUGCUCAUGCUUAUUUAUUUUUGUAUGAUAACGUUACUUCUAUUUGGGAAACGGCGACAGUUGCGGAGACAUUACGGAGCUUCGAGACCAAUCACAGUCUAUGCAUCGCUCAUUCAGUUGUUCUUGACAUUGGGCCUGUAUUUAAAAAAAAAAACUACUUUUAACAGUCUGCACCUCCACUUAACCGCAACUUGAACGCAACUGUUUGGUGCAAUCACAGAACAAUCUUUCUGUAACUGUGCAGCGGUUUGUAAUACGAGUUUUUUAGCUUCCCACAUCUCGCCUUUCCCGAGAAUGUAGUAUAGCUCACCCCGCAAACUGUGUUCUGGUGACAAGCGCCAAAACCAAACGAAGCAAACAAACUGUCUACUAUACUGUGCCAACAUUCUCUGUUGUGUAGUAACGUUGCCCCGUAGAAACACCGCCAAAUAGACUGUGUUCAAACAGCGUUAUUUGCAAAUCCAAGGAAAUCGCUCAGAUGCAAAAUAUACAUGCGAAAGUUGCAUCAACAAACAGCCUUAAGCAGUGUGCCAAGCGUAACUGAGAAAGAAAGCCUGUAUUUUCGCUUACUUAUCAGCAAGGGAGACUCGUCUCCUGCAGGAGAUAAUCAUUCUUCUUCACCGCCUGUUCAGAAGUCUUUACAUAUAUAUAGCAGACACCAGGCCCCUCAGAAAACCAGUUUACAUCAGCCACUGGCGAGUUUUUGGGAACGGCCUGCCACCGAUUCAAUCACAAUCAAACUGCUGGGCAGGACGGGGGUACGAAAGUUUAGCUGGAAAACCUCCUCACUGUGAAGCUGAACAUGAUCUUGUGAGCAUCCCAGUGACAACACUGUGAGUUGGGUGCCCGAUAUAAACGUUCGUGCCAAGACUGAUAAGCAUGACUACUGUUUAUGACAACGCUCAAAACCGGAGGUAUGCGAGCUUCGAGCGACAGAACACUAACGCCUGAGUCGUCUCUCCACUCGUCAGCAAAGCACGUCGGCUUUGUGUGUCCUUCCCGGCCCUGUAUAGCUGUAUCGGAGUAACUUCCGUCAUCUAAAACAAAACUGACUACAUUUCUCUCCUACUGAGGAGUUUUAGCAUACCGUAAUUGCUUGGCGACUUGGAGCGUGUACACGUAACUGCACGCCUAAGAUGGGCACUGUUUAUCACCCCAAUGAUCACUAGCUGUGGCGUACACGGCUCGUGAAAUAUAGAUAUAGUAACGGUGCACGUAACAACGUCGUUUUCUUGCUACGGCGACCUAAAACUUCAUGGUAAAAAAAUCAUGGCACACCGCAAUGAAGUAAUGACUUUGCAAUCGUAGGCCGGCGACGAACAUGCGUGAGUCGGCGUAUGUUGCUAGUAGGCUUUAAAGCACGCAGCGAACAUAUAGUUGCAGCGUAAUUACCCUGCGCUAAAACUCCCUAACGUCAAUGUCAUCGCGCGUGUAAGGUUUGUUUUUGUAAGUGUGACGCACUUGCUUCUUUCUUGUUAUCGCACUGCAAUGCACCUUUUUCUUUUGUUGCUGUCCAUGCUGUACACAUUGUUGUUAUCGCUGUGCGUCAUUAAAGCGCACGCACUUGGCUUUCUUGAUUAUUUUUAGCUUGUUCUUAUAGCGCGUUAUCCACCAGUGCCCCCCUCCCUCAACCUCCAUCAGCCUUUGCGAUAGCGCAGGUUGCGAUCGGAGGGGCGCCCCCUACACCAAGAAAUCGAAAGACAUAUCAGUUUUUUGCCUCGCGCUUUAGACCCUUCGCUGAGUUUGAAGCCCUGGAUUGGUGUCUUAGCGUGAAGCGUUGUCUCCAUACCUUAUUGUCUUUUUCUGUUUGUGCCGUUUUCUUUACUCUGUCCUAACCAUCCUCCCCCUAUUCACUGAUAAUAGCGCGAAAGCGCCGAUCUGUGCAGUUGCCCCUAAAUGUUCUUGAACCAUGCUCGAGACAAUCGUCAGAGUUAGUGCUUUGACGAUUCAUUCUUCCCUGCACUAGGCGUAAUUAGAGAGUUUUAGCGGACCAAUAGCGUAGUAGUGGUGCGGUCUAUACAUGUUAUAUCGAGGCCAUAUCAAGGCACCCUACUGUAACCUAAUUUGAUUGAGCGACCGAUGAAACUCUUUUCGAAUGUGAAACCCCAAGUAUUUCAGCAUCGACGCAUGUUGGGACGAAUGGAACAAUUAAAUAGAGUCUUCAUUCAGGCGGAAAAGAUAAGAUCUUGACAGAUAUAUCGAUGUCGUGAUCGAGGCUCUCAGCGUCAGGCGUAGAUGACAUAUCUAUACAUAUAUCCAUAGAUACUACUGGUAGGUCUAUCUAUAGAUACAUUUAUAGAUAUUACCUAUAGACUAACAGCUGUCUAGCGGUAGUACCGGUAUGUUGAUAUCUUAUGCACGUGGUUUGCGCUGCGACGCAAGCAGGCCUGAAGAGUUUCGAGAAAUGUUGAGCGGCUUCAAGUUUCGCUUAUUUCAGUGCAAUGUACCUGUAGAAUAUGCCACAUUUGUUGACAAAUAACAGCUUUUGAUUGCUUAGACAGUAGUUCGAAUGCUACUGUUAUUUAUUACACUUUUAACUUUGAUUUCGAGUUAUAGAACGGGAAGUGCACAGAGAAAACUGAAAUAUACGCGGUAGACAAAUUCGUUAUGUCAUCAUGCGCUGAAUUAGCUGAAUGAUUUAGCAUGGUCGUGUUUUAACAGACUGAUAUGCGCAGAAGAUUGCGAAACGCAGCGCGCCGAGAACUUCGACAAAAAAAUAAAAUAAAACACUACUACGGACCUAAAAAUCUUAAACCUACAUUAGGGAGUUUUAGAUAUAUUGGAACUCCCUUUAACGUAGUCUAUCGUUCCUACGCGUAAAAGAAUCCAGACAGGCUCCGGGUUUGCGCACGCGUGCUGCCAAUGACUCCGAUCUCUUCGCUACGCUAAGCCGCUUGAGUCCCGUGUUUCUAAAACUCCCUAACAUCAUUCGCAUGACGUGGUUCCUCCGAAAACGCCUUGAGGUCGAAGAGUUCAUUUAAAAUGCGAAUUUGAAAACAAAUUGAUGUGAUGAAUAAUAAAGCAAGUGUACAUGGUGCUGAUUACAACUUUGCGACAGAGGAAUACCGAGCGAAGUUUCUCUAAAACUUCCUAAUUUCGUGUGCGUAAUGCGAUUCCUCUGAUAUCCUCUUGAGGUCGAAAAGUAGCUUCAAAUGGUGAAGUGUAGCAUGAUGUCAAAAAGAAAAAGUAAAUGUACCGAAAAACGCGCAUACGUUCAUCCUGUGGCUUACGUAUUCUUUUUCCGUAUUCCUUUACUUUCUCCUACCUUGGUUCGUUUGUCGUUGUUUCUAGAUCUUCCUGGCAUGCGCUUCCAGACAUCCGCGUGCACUUGUUCUUUUUUAUGAAUGUGACCGCUAGAGCGGCGACGUGCAAAUGUUUUGUUCGAAGUGACUCGACGUAAAUGACGUGUGUGAUGUGGACUGUAUAUUCGUGUGUAUGAUGUGUAAAUAGGAUAUUAAUAAAGUGCGCAAUUUUUAGGACAACACUGAA
rnacentral:misc_RNA from 1 species